rnacentral:rRNA from 1 species
GUAUAAGAGACAGCAGUAGCCGCGGUAAUACGAAGGGUGCAAGCGUUACUCGGAAUUACUGGGCGUAAAGCGUGCGUAGGUGGUGGUUUAAGUCCGUUGUGAAGGCCCUGGGCUCAACCUGGGAAUUGCAGUGGAUACUGGGUCACUAGAGUGUGGUAGAGGAUAGUGGAAUUUCCGGUGUAGCAGUGAAAUGCGUAGAGAUCGGAAGGAACAUCUGUGGCGAAGGCGACUAUCUGGGCCAACACUGACACUGAGGCACGAAAGCGUGGGGAGCAAACAGGAUUAGAUACCCCCGUAGUCCCUGUCUCUUAUAC